rnacentral:rRNA from 1 species
UACGUAGGGGGCAAGCGUUGUCCGGAAUCAUUGGGCGUAAAGAGCGCGUAGGCGGCCCGAUAAGUCCGCUGUGAAAGUCAAAGGCUCAACCUUUGAAAGCCGGUGGAUACUGUGGGGCUAGAGUACGGAAGAGGCGAGUGGAAUUCCUGGUGUAGCGGUGGAAUGCGCAGAUAUCAGGAGGAACACCAAUAGCGAAGGCAGCUCGCUGGGACGUUACUGACACUGAGGCGCGAAAGCGUGGGGAGCGAACAGG